UUACGACCGUAUCACACUGAAAUACCGGUUUCCGUACGAUCCCCAAAGUUAAGCAAUGUUCUUCCUAGUCAGUACACGGAUGGGUGGCCGCAUGGAAAUUCCAUGUGCUGUAA